rnacentral:rRNA from 1 species
UACGGAAGGCAGCAGUGGGGAAUAUUGCACAAUGGGCGAAAGCCUGAUGCAGCCAUGCCGCGUGUAUGAAGAAGGCCUUAGGGUUGUAAAGUACUUUCAUCGGGGAGGAAAAAACAAAACUAAUAAUUUUAUUUCUUGACGUUACCCGAAAAAGAAGCACCGGCUAACUCCGUGCCAGCAGCCGCGGUAAUACGGAGGGUGCUAGCGUUAAUCAGAAUUACUGGGCGUAAAGAGCACGUAGGUGGUUUUUUUAAGUCAGAUGUGAAAUCCCUGGGCUUAACCUAGGAACUGCAUUUUGAAACUGAAAUACUAGAGUAUCGUAGAGGGAGGUAGAAUUCUAGGUGUAGCGGUGAAAUGCGUAGAUAUCUGGAGGAAUACCUGUGGCGAAAGCGGCCUCCUAAACGAAUACUGACACUGAGGUGCGAAAGCGUGGGGAGCAAACAGGGAUUAGAUACC